UACCAGCACCCCGAGUGGUCGGGACGUUUAUUGGGCCUAAAGCAUCCGUAGCCGGUUCUACAAGUCUUCCGUUAAAUCCACCUGCUUAACAGAUGGGCUGCGGAAGAUACUAUAGAGCUAGGAGGCGGGAGAGGCAAGCGGUACUCGAUGGGUAGGGGUAAAAUCCGUUGAUCCAUUGAAGACCACCAGUGGCGAAGGCGGCUUGCCAGAACGCGCUCGACGGUGAGGGAUGAAAGCUGGGGGAGCAAACCAG
rnacentral:rRNA from 1 species